UCCUGCCUUGUCUUGUUAUGAUUAUCAGUGUCACCUGUGUUCCUCGUGUGCUCCCACUUCCCUCGUUAACCCUCUGUGUAUUUAUGUCUGCGUCUCUUUCAGUUCGUUGUCGCGUUCUCCCUCAUACAUGGCCGUGUGUUUCCCCGUGCAAUAUGUUUAGUUUCCAGUUUAGUUUGUAUGGUCUUCCUGUCCAGCAAUAAAGCUGCGUUCUGAGUUCAUUCCUGCCUCCGCGAGCUUGCGUUUGGGUCCACUCCCUGCCUGCCACACAGCCGGUUCAUGACAACCCACAUUCAGAGGUUUUACACCUUUGUGGCAGCAGAAUGGCGAGAAAAGUUCUUCUGACAGGCAAUAGAGUGAGGAGAGGAAGGCCUGCAUUAUCCAAACACUGCUCUGUGAUAUCUUAUGCAUGGGAAAUGAAAUGUGCUCAUGCAGCGGAGUGGACUGGUAGCGCUACAUUACUUCUGCUCCUCCACUCAUACAUUUGCUCACCGCCGUCCGG